UGUUUUGACAACACAUUGUACUAAAAAUUAGAACGAUAUGGAGAGGAUUAGCAUGGUCCUGUGCAAAGAUGACACACAAAUCUGUGAAGUGUUCCAUCUUUUU